rnacentral:rRNA from 1 species
UGGGGAAUCUUGCACAAUGCGCGAAAGCGUGAUGCAGCAACGCCGCGUGAGGGAAGACGGCCUUCGGGUUGUAAACCUCUUUCAGUUGGGACGAAGGUCGGGCGGUGAAUAGCCGUUCCGACUGACGGUACCUUCACAAGAAGCCCCGGCUAACUACGUGCCAGCAGCCGCGGUAAUACGUAGGGGGCAAGCGUUGUCCGGAAUCAUUGGGCGUAAAGAGCGUGUAGGCGGCUUGGUAAGUCGGCUGUGAAAGUCAGGGGCUCAACCCUUGAAUGCCGGCCGAUACUGUCAAGCUAGAGUCCGGAAGAGGCGAGUGGAAUUCCUGGUGUAGCGGUGAAAUGCGCAGAUAUCAGGAGGAACACCGAUGGCGAAGGCAGCUCGCUGGGACGGUACUGACGCUGAGACGCGAAAGCGUGGGGAGCAAACAG